ACGGGACGAACGCUGGCGGCGUGCUUAAUACAUGCAAGUCGAACGGAGAUAAAGAUUCGGUUUUUAUCUUAGUGGCGAACGGGUGAGUAACGCGUGAACAACCUGACUCAAAGAGGGGGAUAACAACGGGAAACUGUUGCUAAUACCGCAUAAGACCACGUCCUCGCAUGUGGAUGGGGUCAAAGAUUUAUCGCUUUGAGAGGGGUUCGCGUCCCAUUAGGUAGUUGGAGGGGUAACGGCCCACCAAGCCGACGAUGGGUAGCCGAGCUGAGAGGCUGAUCGGCCACACUGGAACUGAGACACGGUCCAGACUCCUACGGGAGGCAGCAGUAGGGAAUAUUGGGCAAUGGGCGCAAGCCCUGACCCAGCAACGCCGCGUGAGGGAAGAAGGUUUUCGGAUUGUAAACCUCUGUCCUAUGUGACGAAGGAAGUGACGGUAGCAUAGGAGGAAGCCCCGGCUAACUACGUGCCAGCCGCCGC
rnacentral:rRNA from 1 species